GAUGAACACUAGCGGCAGGCCUAACACAUGCAAGUCGAGGGGCAGCACAGAAAUUCAGCAAUAUCUGGUGGCGACCGGCGCACGGGUGCGUAACACGUAUACAAUCUGCCUUUUACAGGGGGAUAGCCUUUCGAAAGAGAGAUAAAUACCCCAUAACACUAGAUGUGGCAUCACAUUUAGUUGAAAGCUCCAGCGGUAAAAGAUGAGUAUGCGUCCUAUUAGCUAGUUGGUGAGGUAACUGCUCACCAAGGCUACGAUAGGUAGGGGAUCUGAGAGGACUACCCCCCACACUGGUACUGAGACACGGACCAGACUCCUACGGGAGGCAGCAGUAAGGAAUAUUGGUCAAUGGAGGCAACUCUGAACCAGCCAUGCCACGUGCAGGAAGACGGUCCUAUGGAUUGUAAACUGCUUUUAUACUGGAGAAAACCCCGCUACGUGUAGCGGGUUGAUAGUACAGUAAGAAUAAGGAUCGGCUAACUUCGUGCCAGCCGCCGCCGUAA
rnacentral:rRNA from 1 species